rnacentral:misc_RNA from 1 species
AGCUAACAUCGGUUAGAAGCAGGGACCAAAUGGUGACGAGUUGUUAUUGAACCUAACAUACUGGAACAGAAUAAAAAACCAUGAGCCUUCUUUUUGGGUGGGGAUUCGGACGAAUAGCUGACAUUGAUUGCACUUGACCGAGACUGAAAUAGGUCUCUCAAAAGAUUCAUUUCCUCUUCCUUUUGUGGGGUUGGGAGUGAUAUUUCUUCUUGUAGAUAUGCUUGUUCAAGAGAAUCGAUUAGCUUCAUCUCAAUUUUUUACUUAUUUUUAAUUAAAAUUUCUUCAGGGACUUCCUCCAAGAUCAACG